CGUGUGGGCGGUGCGGUAAGUUGGGCGUGAAAUCCCCGAGCUUAACUCGGGUGGGCCGUUCAAGACUGCCGUGCUAGGGUGCGGGAGAGGGAAGUGGAAUUUCCGGUGUAGCGGUGAAAUGCGUAGAUAUCGGGAGGAACACCUGCGGCGAAGGCGGCUUCCUGGACCGUAACCGACGCUGAGGCGUGAAAGCUAGGGGAGCAAACAGGAUUAGAUACCCUGGUAGUCCUAGCCCUAAACGAUGAGCACUGGGUGUGGCCCCUCACGGGGCCGUGCCGAAGCUAACGCAUUAAGUGCUCCGCCUGGGGAGUACGGUCGCAAGGCUGAA
rnacentral:rRNA from 1 species